UUUGGCAAUAUUUGGAGGCAUCUGAGGGAAGGGGGCGUGCUGCUAUCUAACGGGUAGAGGCCAGGGGUUCUGCUAAACAUCCUAUAUGAUGCAUAAAACAGCUGCACACAAAGAAUUGUCCAGUCCAAAAUACCUUCAGUACUUACGCUGAGAAACCCUGUUCUACAGAUAUAGAGAUGAAGAAGAGACAGUAUCUGUCUUGAAAAAGCUUACUGUCUAGUGGGUGAAUGCAAGGUGGAAACAAAGCUAUGUCCAAGAUGCUCCAGGUGCAGAGAAGAAGAGGGGAUGCUUAAGUAAAAAUAUUGGAAGAUAGGAGCUUGCCAUGGGUACUCAGGAUGGAAAGAAAUGAUUUUAUGUAGAGGGAAGAGCACGGGAAAACAUUUAAAUAGGUGCAAAGCAUUUUGGAGUCUAAGAGGUGCUAGUAGUUGAGAAUUGUUAGAGCUCAGGCUGCCGGUCGCGGGGAAGGCAGGCGCGAAGGGGUGCAGGGAAGAAGGAGGAGGCGGCGGCAGUGGCGGUGGCCAUGGCAGAAGCGGAAACAGGAGCAGCAGCAGCAGCAGCAGCGGCAGGAGAGGCACACAGGAGCCAGAUCCUAAAGGCUUUGUAUGCCACAUUAGGAAAGAAUUUGGAAUACAGCUUCUGUUUGGAAAACAUUUUCUGUAACCAGCCCGACACAGAGACGGGGUUUUGCAUGUUGGCCAGGCUUGUCUCGAACUCCCGACCUCAAGUGAUCAGCCCGCCUUGGCCUCCCAAAGUGCUGGGAUUACAGGUGUGAGGCACCGCUCCUGGCCAAGACCAAUAUUUCUUGACGCUGACUUCAGGAGCUAGAACAGAACUGGUUGGAGCCCAGCUAAACUAAAAAGCACAGCCAAGGGCAGCAAAGCCUUCUAUGUUUACAGAGCCAAAAGGAUGCCGAAGGCCCUGGAAGUUGAAAAUCAAGACUGGCUGCUGUAAAGCAGACCAUCUCAGACGUAUUCUCAUUCCUGACAAAUACCCACCCACCAGCAGGACUGGGAGACACAUGGCAACCAGAGCAAGUUGUCAAAACUUAUCAUUAUAAAACGUCCAUCUUACAAAAGUACAACCUUUGCUCAGUGCAGUGUUUUCCUUAGAAGACAGCUCUUCUGAGAGCUAUAAAAAGGUGGUUAGAAUGGGUGAGGUUAGCUCUCGUAGUCUAAGCUAACAAUCAUGUUAAAAAUGUAAAGGUGAAUAAUGAUGGCAGAAUGUUUUACAAACAAACAACAACAACAACAAAGAAAUUCAUUAAUUAUGUUCCUCUACUUCAAAGAAAUUCAUAAUUUUUAGCACUGCUCUUUUGAGAAAAGAAAAUUGCCUGUAAGAUCUCUGGCCCUUCUCCUUUAAUUUCCUUUCUUACUCCAUACCCUCAGGUGGCUAGCCUAGUGCUACAUGGCCUAGGCUACACAUAAAGUUCACAGCUCUUUGCCUGAUCUCCUGAUCCUCUAUCAAAACAGCACUUUCAAAAGUGUUUCCUGUCUAGCUCUGCCCUUGCGUGAGCGUUUCCUUGGCUGGAUCAGCUGCCAAACUAAAUCUCUCUGUUAGAAAACUGCGGAGAACUCAAUAUAGCCCUGUCCCCCUCUCCACCUUAGGCCUGACAUCCGGAAGUGACUUAGGAAGUAAUUUAAUGGUUACCAAAUUUUGGGGAACUGAUUUAAAUUUUCUGUGCUAACCAUGUGUUUAGGAGAGACUACAUCACUAAUCAUCACUUGACCUUGUGACAGACCAAAAGUUGCCGAUUUUUUUUUCCUGGGGGAAAAAAUUCUACCAGCUAGCACGAUGAUGUAAAUGCAAAAUCAUGUUGUGAGACGACUGCCAAUAUGCUGGUUUCCAGAUGUUUGACAGGACGAUGCAGAAACAAUACAAAAGAGGGCUAACAGUUUCUGUCACAAACUCUGCUGGGUUACUUGCUUUCUCUCUCUCCAUACUUUUUUUAUUUUAUAAGUGCUGGGGAUUGUGUAUAGCAGUCAAACGAUUCAAACGAUUUGGGAUAGAGAAGAACGGAAGGUUUGUCCAUUGCUUGUUAACCUCUGUCUUUGAAAACACAGAACAUUCUCCAAAUCUAUUAUUAUUACUCUGUUGAGCAAUAACUGCAGGGUGAUUUGUCUGAAUGUAUAUCUACUGGUGUCCCACCUUUCACUUAAAUAAGCCUGUACAUCAAACAAAUAAGAAAGGAACUGGAAUGGAGCUCUGCAUAUUUCACUAAGUCUCUCCUCUGCAUCUCAGCCGUAGAUGAAAUCUGAUUUAAGUCAAAGCCUAACACGGCCUAGGCUGUCCUCAUUGCAUGGGCUUCAUCUUCAUGUACUCAUCCUUGACUCACACUAUUCCUGGUGGAAGGCUUCCUAAAAGAAAACCAGAUUGAGUUGUCAGGUUUACAGUAUCAAGGAAUCUCUAAAAUGAAUGGGUUCUUUAAAAGAAAAGCCAAACUUUGGGUAAUUACAUUCAAACUCCUUAAUCACAUUUUCUGAGCUCAAUGGGAAUUGUGGUGUUCUUUGCUGAAUGUCUUCCCCAAAGCCACACAAAUGCAAUACAGUCUUCCUUCAGAGGAAGGCAUCCAACAGAAUGACUCCUGCUUGGCAGAAUGUUAAUUUCAAGUAUGUACUCCUUAAGUUUUCUUUUUUCACACAGAAGCAGUAUGUAUGCAUUCGUGUGUAUAUGUAUUAUUUUUUUUUAUAUCACCCAACUAACUUUGUAGCCCCCUUCCUCCCUAUUCCACUCCCCCAAAAACAGAAAAACAGGAUAUAGAGGAUCUGAGGAGUAAUUUUCAAGCAUACAGUUUACCAAUGAUGACAGACAUUAUUGAAGUUUGGUAAUAUUUCCUUCUUUCCCACCUCUGGGCAUACAAGAUAGCUGUACUUCCCCAUCCUCUUAAAGUUCUAGCCUGGUAGUCUGCAACAGAACUUUCUACGAUGAUAAAAAUGUUCUAAACCUUGUACUGUCUAAUAUGAUAAUGUGGCUAGUGCAACUGAGAAAAUGAAUUAUACAUUUUAUCUUCAUUAUUUUAAAUCUAAAUUUAAAAAAAUACAGCUAGUGGCUAUUGUAUUGGACAGCACAAUUAUAGCUCAUGAGUUGUAAGCAGAAGUGACCACCAUGAGAUGUCCAGUGUCCCCUUAUCCCUGCUCACUCACACAUCACAUCAGUAAUAUAAAACCCUCACUUACACGAGAAAACACUCUUAUAUUUAUAAACCUAAUGGUUACCUAGAAUAACUCAGUGGUGAAGCCUUCGCUAACCUGGCUCCUUGAAUGGAGAUAACAUGGAAUAGAGACCCCUCAAUCUGCGACGGACAAUAUUCAGCAAUAAUUUAGCCAGAAAAGUCACUAAAUGUACAAGAAAGAAAAUAGAGAAGUACUGAUACUUGCGAAGACCAAAUAUUACCCAUGAAAAUGUCAAGAAGCUCCUACUGCAUGUGUGUAGCUGGUAGUGAAGUGGAAGAGAUGCAGCUGCUGAGAUGUAUCCUUUUUUUUCUCUCUUUUUUCUUUUGUUUAUGUUUCGAGAUGUAUCCUAAUUUAAAUGCAAUCUAAAACUUAAGUGCCUGUGACGAAGGGUGUAUAACCUUGGGCGUUCUACUACCCGCUUGGAAAAAUAACCCAGAAAGAAAUCUUAACACAUUUUGUAUUCUUGUUACCAUGUAAGACAUUCCUGUAUUCAAAGUAGUAAUGAUACGGUUGUAAUAUUUUUCCCACAAAGAAAAAUCCCCUAGUCGUGAAAGAGUUAAGAGAGACCAAAAUUAGACACAGUUCAUGUUAAAGGUUACAAGAAUAAUCAGUCAUUUGAAAAACACUACAUAAACAUUUUUCCGGAUGCAAUUUUCAGUCCAAGGAUACAUUUCCCAGUAGAAAUCAGCAGCUAAAAAGGAAAUCAUUUCGUCUCCAUAAGUGCCAAAUUGUAUCCUGAUUUUUCCUGGUCUGGCUCAACUUUCAAAACUAGUGGUUCAACUUCUGCAAUCUUUCACCCAAUGACUAUAUAAACACAUCUUUAUAAAACAGACAUAAUCCUUGGGUGGGCCAAUUUAUGUUGGAUUAUGAAAAUACUUAAAAUACAAAAUCAUAUAAUGACUAUUGUCCUUCGGUUUUUCACUAAAAGGAAAGAAAAACCUAUUUAACAUAGGCAGUGGUUCACGUGCGAUAACAUGACACAUAUACACUGCUCUUUUUUUCUAAUGUCUCUGAAAAUAAGUAUCACUGACAAUUCAGUAAAGGAUUGCCUCACAUUUUCUCAAGGUGAUAUGUAAAUUCAGAAUUUGCAAAUAUACUUCUGAUGUACCCACAUGCCACAACGCACACACAAUUCUAAUGAAUUAAACUGCUCACAACGGGCAAGGAAAAAUUCUCACCCUUGGAAGUAUUUUGGAUCUUCUGUAUUCGGUCAGAGGUUAUAGAAACAUUAGUUUUAAGGAUAAAGUAAUCUUAAGUAAAAAGCAAAAGAUUCAUUCACAAUUUAUUACUGCUUCCAAUUCACAUACAUUUCACAUUACUCAGAAUUCCCAAUAACACAAUUCAAGUAGAAUCUCAACUCCAUAGCUAGAAGAAAUCGUAAAUUUUAAAUCUUUGUGGAAAGGUAAACUCUGUUUUUUCACUUCUUCCUUGAAAUUCUACAGCUUUUAUAAGUCAACUACAAAAGGUAUCAUGAAAAGCCUAUCUUCAGCAUUUAGCAUGAGGAGGGGAAGAAUUUUAACUUUUCCUCUAAUGGAUAAAGUUACGUAAAAGAAGACAUUUUGGAAGUCUUUGGAGAAUGCAGUAUAAAUCAUAGCUGUAAGAUCUGGAAAAGUCUGGUUGAACAUUAAGAGAUUUCCACAUCUGUAUCUAUACAUUCCCAUCUUGGGAAUAGUGUAUGUCCAAAACCAUUCACAGAAAAAUGUUGUAAAGUACUCUGUUGGUGAGCAAAACUUAAGAGUUGCAAUCACAAACAUUUCAUUUUCAUCAUAGAUUAUUGAUAAUUACACAAUCAAAUAUCCAUAAAAUUAUAUUGAUAAAAAUUUUUUUUGUCAAUAUUCUAAAAGCCAUAACAAAGCAAUGAAUUUAAAAUAGCUUAUUUCUAGGAACUUUUUAUAGUUUAUAGCAUAACUCUAUGAAUAAUUUUCUGAUGCCUAGAUUAGUCCUUCAUCCUUGCUCUGAGAAAACAAAUAUGUCAUUGAAGCAAUAUGACCACACUAUAAGAAAGGACACAGAAUAAUGCACAUUUUCUUUCACAGGCUGAGAGAGGCUGAUGAAUGUUACACUUCUCUAAUUCACAAAAUUUAUCUGAAUACAAGGACAUAUUAGGAAAGCAUUUUCGUGUUCAAGUGAGUAGCUCUGCCCAAACCAGUAUGAAGUAUUUAAUUAAAUAUUUUCGUUUAGCUAUAAUGGCAACAUAAAACUUUUAAGUAUUUGCCAAAAUUAGAAAAUCUCUAGUUCUUCUGAAAAAUAUACACAUACCUAGACAUUCAAAACUAAAAAUUAAAGGUUGAUUAUUUAAAUCUAUCUUUUUAGUUCAAAUAUUUUGCAUUCCUUUCUGAUUUAAAACACUCUCCUAUGAAAGCCACCAUUAUUUAUAAGUGAAGAAAGAAAAGGGAAUUUGUCUUACAUCUCCCCACUCCUCACUUUGCCAUUGUCACCUGUAUCUAUUUCCAGGAAGCCAAUAUUCAUUAGGGUUAAUCUGCCUACUAAAUGAAUAAACAAAGGAUUUCUCUGUCACUAAGAGGCCAGGUGAGCCGAUAGCAUCUUCUAACACAGAAAAUCAUCUGUACCAUACAGCUCAGGAAAUUACCUGCUGCAAUCCCACACCUGGGAUCACUUGGCAGGCAGACCCAUAAUGCUGAGUAAUAUAUGGAAAAUGAACUAUAACCAUUUUUUCAAAGGGCUGACAAAUCUCUCAUAUUUCAAAACUGAAAAACAGUUUAAUAUGAUUAACUACAUAACUCACUAGGGAAAAAUAGUGAAAAAAUAUCAAGAAAUGCUUCCACAUUUUUCCCCUAAACAAUAACAGGGUAUGUAAGAAAUGAUGCCAAAAUACUAACAUGCAGUGAAAUAUGAAUAACUGGUACAAGAAUGCCAAUACUUCUAUGGAUCUCUACGAUCUUAAAAAUAAGAACAGUUCUACAAUAGAAUGUAGUUAACAAACUAAAUAAAAAGAUGCAUUGUUAUAUUAUAAUCCCUACUUUUAUAGACUGACAAAUUCAGAUCAAGUAAAAGCUAUAUCUUGGUGGCUCGAGAUACCAGGAAAAGAACCCAAGGGCAAUUAUUUGUUAAUAGAUUAAUGGUAUUAUCACUUCAUGUUUCAUUUUGUGGAGGAGAAUCCCAGGUUUUAUUGUCCUGUAGAAAUAAUUUUUCCAGCUAAAGAAGCCAAUAGGAAACCAUUGGUGUUAAAUAAACAAACACAAAAUGAGUAAAAGAAAUGAGAUCAAAGAUAUCUGACUUCCCUCCAAAUGUUAAAUAAUAAAAACAUAUAUAUGUAUAUAUAUAUAUCUCUCUCCUAGAUACAAGUUUGAAAUAACAUUUGAUAGCUGAAAACCAUGUAGUAUAAGCACAUAAAAGAACUGAUUUGAUUAGAACUGGUUUGAAGAUCAAUUUGAUUAGACACAUGAGACUAUGGCAACAAAACUCAUUCACAAAACAUGAAAACAAAUAGUGAUUAGUGGUCAUUCUUCUCUCAAAAUUAUGUUCAGUUCUACAGAAGGUCUUGGGUGUCACAGAGAAUGAAAUAAAACUAAAUAUGUCAGCAUAUAUGCCAAUGAGAAUCAACCAAUAUGCACAGGAUUUAUUUCUUUAUUCAACUUUUAAUAAUAUGUUUGCAGAGAAAAAGGAGCCAAACUAUUAAUACUGGGCAGAUUACGGAUCACUUUACAGAGGCACUACAAGUAGAGAAUUAAAAGACUUAGGUCUUCUGGGACUGAGUACCCCCACUCCCCCCCAAUAAAAAUUAAAAUAGGAAAAAAAAAAGACUUAGAAAAAGGGUUAGUCAACAUUUAAUGACUGCCCACUCCAUGUAAGGCCCCAUACCAAAUAGGGCUGGGUUUGCUCAAGGGUGAUAAAAAACAGAUAGGGUCUUUGUCUAUAGUAUAUAUUAUCAUUAUUAUUUUUGAAAAUCCUUUCUUAGCUUCACAGGGGUUCCCUGGUUGUUUUUAUACUGAAUAUGUCCGAGUUAUAUCAAAUACUACAAAACUAUUGAGAGGUGUGUCCAUCUGGGGGAACAGCGAUAUUGGCAGGGAAGCAGUGGAGGUGUGGGGCACCAGGUCACAUAUAUGCUGCACCUAAGGAAAUGUAGUGUAGAGAGAAAUUAAAGAAGACUUACCCAGUGGCUGGGUGUGGUGGAUCAUGCCUGUAAUCCUAGCACCUUGGGAGGCCAAGGUGGGUGGGUCACCUAAGGUCAGGAGUUGGAGACCAGCCUAGCCAACACAGUGAAACCCCGUCUCUACCAAAAGUACAAAAAAUCAGUUGGACAUGGUGGUGGGCGCCUGUAGUCCCAGCUACUUGGGAGGCUGAAGCAGGAGAAUCACUUAAACCAGGGAG
rnacentral:lncRNA from 10 species